GACGAACGCUGGCGGCGUGCCUAACACAUGCAAGUUGAGCGACGAACCGGGGCUUGCCCCGGGGCAAAGCAGCGAACGGGUGAGUAACACGUGGAUAACGUACCCCGAUAACCGGGACAACCCGAGGAAACUCGAGCUAAUACCGGAUGUGCCCAUCACACACCAGUGUGAUGUGUAAAGGAAGCUUCGGCCUCCGUAUUGGGAGCGGUCCGCGGCCCAUUAGCUAGUUGGUGAGGUAACGGCUCACCAAGGCAACGAUGGGUAGCUGGUCUGAGAGGACGAUCAGCCACACUGGGACUGAGACACGGCCCAGACUCCUACGGGAGGCAGCAGUGGGGAAUCUUGCGCAAUGCGCGAAAGCGUGACGCAGCAACGCCGCGU
rnacentral:rRNA from 1 species